rnacentral:rRNA from 1 species
CGUCAGGAUGAACGCUGGCGGCGUGCUUAMUACAUGCAAGUCGAGCGAACUGAUUAGAAGCUUGCUUCUAUGACGUUAGCGGCGGACGGGUGAGUAACACGUGGGCAACCUGCCUGUAAGACUGGGAUAACUUCGGGAAACCGAAGCUAAUACCGGAUAGGAUCUUCUCCUUCAUGGGAGAUGAUUGAAAGAUGGUUUCGGCUAUCACUUACAGAUGGGCCCGCGGUGCAUUAGCUAGUUGGUGAGGUAACGGCUCACCAAGGCAACGAUGCAUAGCCGACCUGAGAGGGUGAUCGGCCACACUGGGACUGAGACACGGCCCAGACUCCUACGGGAGGCAGCAGUAGGGAAUCUUCCGCAAUGGACGAAAGUCUGACGGAGCAACGCCGCGUGAGUGAUGAAGGCUUUCGGGUCGUAAAACUCUGUUGUUAGGGAAGAACAAGUACGAGAGUAACUGCUCGUACCUUGACGGUACCUAACCAGAAAGCCACGGCUAACUACGUGCCAGCAGCCGCGGUAAUACGUAGGUGGCAAGCGUUAUCCGGAAUUAUUGGGCGUAAAGCGCGCGCAGGCGGUUUCUUAAGUCUGAUGUGAAAGCCCACGGCUCGACCGUGGAGGGUCAUUGGDKAACUGGGGWKACUUGAGUGCAGWAAGAGAKDAAGCGGDAAUUUCCACGUGUAGCGGUGAAAAUGCGUAGAAGAAUGUGRAGGRAACCACCCAGUGGCGAAGGGCGGCUUUUUGUUCUUGAC